rnacentral:rRNA from 1 species
GACGAACGCUGGCGGCGUGCUUAACACAUGCAAGUCGAACGGGCCCGCCCCUGUUUUUGGGGGUGGGUUGAGUGGCGAACGGGUGAGUAUCACGUGAGUAACCUGCCCCCUGCUCCUGGAUAACUGCUUGAAAGGGCGGCUAAUACGGGGUGUGCCGGCUGGUCCGCAUGGGCCUGGUCGGGAUAGUUUCAUCUUCGGGUGUUUCGGUGGGGGAUGGGCUCGCGGCCUAUCAGCUUGUUGGUGGGGUGAUGGCCCACCAAGGCGGUGACGGGUAGCCGGCCUGAGGGGGUGGGCGGCCGCACUGGGACUGAGACACGGCCCAGACUCCUGCGGGAGGCAGCAGUGGGGGGUAUUGCACGAGGGGCGGAAUCCUGAUGCAGCGGCGUCGCGUGGGAGAUGAAGGCCGUCGGGUUGGGAACCUCUUUCUCCGGUGGUGAAGGCCCUGUCCGAUGCGGCGGGGUUGACGGUAGCCGGGUAUGAAGCGCCGGCUAACUACGUG